AAAAAAAAACCCCCAAAAACAAUGACCUAAAGAAAACAGAUUUCAAAUUUUGUGGAAAGGAGGUAAGACCGCGUAGUGCUGGGGCUUCUGAAAGGGGCCGGAAUGCUCUCCAAAGAGAGAUGGCCUCAUACACUCGGAAGAGAGGAGAGCACACAGGCACCUGCUUGCACACCGAUGUGUUCGCUCAGCCCCGCUUUCCCCGGCUGCCCGUCCGAAACGGCCUCUCCCUCACGCUGCUGCCUUUCAUUUUUCUCUAAAGCUCCCUGUGCACUUUGCAGAGGGGCCGUGAAAAGAUAGAUUGCCUUCCAGAUCCCAGGCCACACCAGUAUCGAUCACUUUGUAGAGCAGCAGGUGUGAUUAAAUUAAGGAUCUUGAGAUAAGAUUAUCUGGGAAUGUCUGGGUGGCCCUAAACAUCACAUGAGGGCUGGGGAAGGGGGGGUCCGGGCACGCACAGAGAGGGUGGGGUGAUGCGCAGGGAGCCGGAAACCGGAGUGCCGUGGUCCACCAAGGCAGCCGCCUCAGGGAGCUGGGAAGCACAAGGACCAGGCCCUUCUCUGAAGCCACAGGAGGGAGGGAGCCCCCCAACCCUUCGGCAGCAGCCCUGUCCACUGAAUUUCGGCUUCUGGCCUCCAGAACAACGAGAGAGUAAACUCCGGUGGUUUUUUAAGCCAUCAGGUCUGUGGUGAUUGUUGCACCAGCCAGAGGAACAACCCCGAGGCCCGACUCCGUCAUAUCCGUGCCCUGCCUGUCUUCUCCAGAUGAGAAAUCCCACGAGCAAAGAGACUUGGUGUGUUUACUUCCCUGUGGAAGCCUCAAAGCCAGGCAGGCAGCAGGGGUCCAGCCUGGUGGAAGGCUCGCCACCAGCAGAGCCUCGCGCUUCAUUCCAAAGCUCAGGCUUUGGACAAUGUUUGCGAUGCACACGUGUGUGGCUUAAACUCUUCCCCUGCGGGCACGUCUCAUAUUUGGUUGGUGUCUACAGAUAUACUGGACUUCUGAGCCAGAAGACUGAAAAACAUCGAUUUCUCUUGCAGGGUCACAGCAGACUGUGGGGUGACAGACAUUUCUGAGCUGGAGGGGGCACUGUCUGUACCCCACCCUGGAGCCUACAGACAGGAAGGUGCGAUGGGACAUGUGAAGAGCUUUCCCGGGCCUCAGGGAGAAAAAUGGUGCAUGCCUUAUACGUCUUGUGUAUGCGUCAUGUCCUUCUAUAGAAGAUAUGUAUAAAUCGAUCCAGAUGCCGAUUUUUGUUGAAAUGCCCCCAAAAUUCCCACGGGAAUUUGGAAGGAUAGAUUAGUAAAACUAGAAAAACUCACAGAUGCACUCAUUGGCAUCCAAGGUACCCAGAGCUGUUUGUUUACAUAGGCAGACAUCUUAUGCUCCUUUGGAAUCCUGUGUGUCUGGGGACUCCCCGAGCACGGGAACCGCACUCUUGGCUUACAGCCUGCCUGACUCGAGUUAAGCUGAAAGGUCUUACAAGGUGGGUAUUUUUAUCAUGUCCUUCUGGCAGCCAGGGAAGCUGAGGCUGUUUUCGAUGACCUUCCAAGCUGAGCAGGUGCACGGAGGAGCCAGUAUUUGACCCCAGGUGCUGGGACCUCAGGGACACAUGGGUAAACACCAUACUCUGUGGCACUGAAUUCAAGCUGGAGGUCAAUCCCUCUCCCUGGCCCCCUGGCCAUUCAGUGAACAUGCAGCCCUGCCUCCGAGCCCCUCUCGGAGUUGUGAGGCUCUUGAGCUCUCUGAGCCCCAUCCGGUAAGAGCCGUCUCUCAGGGAAGAUGAAAGAGAGGCAAAGGCCAUCCAUCGUUACCUAAAAGCGACUGGACUUUCCAGGUCACCUUCCAAGUCCACCUCCAGGGGCAGGGGACGGGAAGAGGCAGAGCCAUGACAUACCUGUGUGACCUGAGUGUUUUUUGAUUGUUCUCCUUUGUUCCCGGGUCCUGUGGUCUCCGGCGUCGGUAAGCACACAAAAUGACCAUUUGACGUGCGAACUGGUGUCUAAUGUCCUCGAUGUGCUCAUAUCACACACAGCUCGAGGUACACACGUCGGCGUGGCGCUCUUCGAGAUCACGGAGAUAUAUGUCGCCGGCUUUGCUGACGCCCUACGUAUCCUACCAGUGUCAAUCAAGAGGACACCCAGAGUUUCGGGCCAGCGGGAACACGCACACGCCCAGGGCCCCACGCGCCAUGUGCUGUGUGAGCGCGACUGCGGUCAGAAACCCGAGAAGCCGCGGACCUCAGCCUCGUGCUGUCCGUGCAUCUUCUUGUGAACGGCUGUCGGGAGGGUCUGGACGGGCUCUGACUGUCAGCAGAGACUAAUAAAAACCGCUUGAAAGAACCCCAGAGAGUCAUGAAAGAGGACUCCUCCACGUCUGCGAAUGAAUCCCCACUGGGUUACUUUGCCAUUUUGCCUGAGCAACAGUUCACGACCGUCAUCUUACUCUGAUCAACCUGCUGUUGCGCCAGAAGAGCCUGGGGGAGCCUGGGAAACAUGCCAGGGAUGCGGGGCCGGCCGGGAUUCUCCGGCCGAUGGGGACUCUGUCGCACCCCCAGGUGGGGAUGACCGCAUCUUACUGGGACAUGUGCUCUCUGCACAACACAGGUCAAUUCCUGUGGUUAAGUUGUUGGACCAAUGGACUGAACCAUUGCAAGCGUAAUGUAUGUGAGACACUUCCCGAGCACCUAACUCAAAUACUCCUGUUUUUUGUGUGAAAGAAACUGCCAUUUCAAGCAUGACGCCCGCGUCUGGAGGCUCAGGGCCAGAGAGCGGUUCCUACCGCUGAAAACUUCACAGUUGGGACAAAAGGGCCCGGAGAGCGAGCCUGGAGGCUGGCUUCUGGCAGGUUCUGUUCCAGGUGCUCGGGUGAGUCACUAAUCCUCUCUGAGUCCCCUUCCCCUUCUAAGAAAGGAAGGGUUUUGGCUCACUUGUCUCCAAGUUUUUUUCCAAGGAAGGACUCUGAGUCUCCAUUUCUGUGGGGAAAAUCUACCCUGACACACUCCAGCUACAGGAAGGAAGACACGAGUAGAAUAAUGAAAUAAAUAAAGUCUUCAUCUGGGAAAUCUAGGCAUUUUUCUAAGUUAUCACCAUUUCAGAAACAAACCAGUUUCUUGUCUCAGAGCGACAGAUUAUUGCCCGCGCACCAGACCAGAGAAGAAACAGCCUCAAACCCAGGCUGGUGGAGUUCUCCAUCCGACUCAGCUGUAGCCGGGCAAGAAGUUUAACCGGAGUGAGAGCAGACAGCGGAGGUCAGACCCGGAUCGCCGAGCCAGUGACAACUAGAAGCUUCUGGCGCUCAGUGAGGGAUGAGGGCCAAGUCACAGAACCUGGCACUAGGUUCAACUCAACUUUUGACUUCCAAUCAUUUCCCAUCGUCUCCAAAAGCUGAGGUCUGUUCCUGGAAUAGAAGCCUUCUCAGCUUUUUCUAAAAUACUCUUUUAAACAGUUUCAAGGUUGCUGACUGUUUUCCUAAUAUUUUAGGGAACUAUGGAAAAACUUGCACACCAUAGAGAAGUAACACAAAUAGGGGAGCAGGGUUUCUGGGGUAACCGACGACACAGGCGCGCUGUUGGGAAUUCCUCCUGGGCGAGGUGGCACAGAAGGUGCUCCUGACGCCCCUCUCCUGCCUCCUCCAGCAGAGUCAGGAGGGAGGGACUGACAGGAGGGGCAGGUAGGGGCAAGGGGCUGCUGAGGACGCAAGGUCACGAUGGGUGACGUGACCGGCUAUUAGUUUCAUGUUGCCCUUGUUACAAUCUAUUCAGGCGUAGGAUCCGUGGAUCAAAGAUUAAGUCAUGGGCUUUGGAAAAAUAUCCAUCAAAGGUUUAAAACGAGCUUAGGGCUCGAUGAUAACUAAGGACCACCAUCAGGGCUCAUCAAGCCAAUAGUUCUUGUGACGAAAGGAAAAGGGGCCAGAGUCACCGUGUUCCUCUCCUCAGCGUAACCAGCCCUUCUGCCCUGGUUUUCAAUGACGAGAGUUGCACACCCCUGGCAUUUCUGGAACAUACUUGUACUUUAUAAACAGAGAAUUUCUACAGGACUUAGGAGGAACUGCGGAGCCCAACAACAAAGAGGAAGACUGGACUGAGUUCAAAAGACCCGCAUUUUGGGGCGCCUGUGGUCGCUCAGUUGAUUGGAUCUCUGAGACUUGAUUUUGGCUCAAGUCACGAUCUCAGGGUCAUGAGCUCGAGCCCCACGUCAUUGGAUCCCGCGCUCAGCUGGAGUCUGGGAUUUUCUCUGGAGUCUGGGAUUUUCUCUCUCUCUCUGCACCCCUGCCCAUGCCCGGACCCUCAAGUGCGCUCUAAAUAAAUAAAAUCUUAAAAA